UACGUAUGGGGCAAGCGUUAUCCGGAUUUACUGGGUGUAAAGGGAGCGUAGGCGGCAGGGCAAGCCUGAUGUGAAAGCCCGGGGCUCAACCCCGGGACUGCAUUGGGAACUGCCCUGCUGGAGUGCCGGAGGGGCAGGCGGAAUUCCUAGUGUAGCGGUGAAAUGCGUAGAUAUUAGGAGGAACACCAGUGGCGAAGGCGACUUACUGGACUGUAACUGACGCUGAGGCAUGAGAGCAUGGGGAGCAAACAGG
rnacentral:rRNA from 1 species